GCUCGUUCGAGUCCGCGCAUCGGAAUGAGGACAAUUUACACCCCUUCUCGAGGAUCCAUUGGAGGGCAAGUCUGGUGCCAGCAGCCGCGGUAAUUCCAGCUCCAAUAGCGUAUAUUAAAGUUGUUGCAGUUAAAAAGCUCGUAGUUGGAUUUCUGGCAGGGGGCAACAGCCCGCUUGCAGCGUGUGCUUGCCGUCCCCUACCAUCCUUCUGUUAACGCGCCAGGACAUUCACUUGUCGGGCGCGGGCUCAGAUAAUUUACCUUGAGAAAAUUAGAGUGUUUCAGGCAGGCUGACGCCGGGAUACAUUAGCAUGGAAUAAUGGAAUAGGACUUUCGCCUCUUCUGUUGGUCUGAGGGGUGAUCGUAAUGAUUAAUAGGGAUAGUUGGGGGCAUUAGUACUUAACUGUCAGAGGUGAAAUUCUCGGAUUUGUUAAAGACUAACUUAUGCGAAAGCAUUUGCCAAGGAUGUUUUCAUUAAUCAAGAACGAAAGUUAGGGGAUCAAAGACGAUCAGAUGCCGUCCUAGUCUUAACCAUAAACUAUGCCGACUCGGGAUCGGGGGCGAGAGUUAUCCGCCUUCGGCACCGUAUGAGAAAUCAAAG
rnacentral:rRNA from 1 species